UUCGUUUAAGGCAAUAACAAGGAGUAGAUGAAGAACCGCACACACACCGGUGUAUGUGAUGGGGGUAAUCGACGUUGCGCCUAAUGUUAUCGGUCAAUAUCUCUCCCUAUGGUGUCCUUCUUCUCGCCAUCGUCUCGAGAAGAUGGCCCCGAAAACUCAUGUCU
ensembl:ncRNA C23F12.7 ncRNA